UGUAAUUUAGUUUAGGGAGAAUAUUUAUUUUUGGUUUAAAAGGGAUUUUAAUUACAAA
rnacentral:tRNA from 1 species